rnacentral:tRNA from 1 species
GGGGUUGUGGCUCAGUGUUAAAGUGCUUGCCUAGCACGUAUGAGGCACUGGGUUCAAUCAUCAGCACCACA